rnacentral:rRNA from 1 species
GGGAAUUUUGGACAAUGGGCGCAAGCCUGAUCCAGCAAUGCCGCGUGAGUGAAGAAGGCCUUCGGGUUGUAAAGCUCUUUUGUCAGGGAAGAAACGGUGAAGGCUAAUAUCCUUUGCUAAUGACGGUACCUGAAGAAUAAGCACCGGCUAACUACGUGCCAGCAGCCGCGGUAAUACGUAGGGUGCAAGCGUUAAUCGGAAUUACUGGGCGUAAAGCGUGCGCAGGCGGUUUUGUAAGUUUGUCGUGAAAGCCCCGGGCUCAACCUGGGAAUUGCGAUGAAGACUGCAAGGCUUGAAUCUGGCAGAGGGGGGUAGAAUUCCACGUGUAGCAGUGAAAUGCGUAGAGAUGUGGAGGAACACCGAUGGCGAAGGCAGCCCCCUGGGUCAAGAUUGACGCUCAUGCACGAAAGCGUGGGGAGCAAA